CUUUCUGCCAGUACUGGCUGCCGCUUGAGCGUUGGUCGCAGCGCUGAGCCACGAGCACAACUGGUUCAGUAGCCUUUGUUCUCAGAGCGCUGCCUGUUCUCAGCCACGACAGCCCCUCAGCCAUGACAUCCGCCCCGCCUUGACACUCCCUGAGCCGUGACUCUCCCUUAGCCAUAUCAGCACCUCAGCUGAGUGGACUGCAUGGAGAGAGCUGUCUGACCUGGCUGACACCACCGAAGUGCAAGGACUGGCACUGCUGACAGAAAUGAAGUUUUCCAGCUCUUGCAUCCAGAGACAAUACGGUGAAAGGAAGAUCAGGCUUCAGAGCUCUGCAGCCAUCCAUCCCUACCAGUCAGCAGCAAGUUCCUACUCCUGUCACAGUUACAGGCAUCUUUACCUUUGAACGUGGUUGGAACAAGAACUGGCCCAGUGUGGAGCUCUGGGAAAUAAUUGACUGCAGGAGUACUUCAUUCAUCACUGAGUUGAUUUGAACCAAAUUACUCAGGUAACCUACACAUGAUGAGCCCAGUGAUGUGAGGUGCCCAGACAUCCUAAUUCCCAAAGGAGGAGCUCAGCAGAGCUGGCCUUGCACAGAUCCAGUCAGCUGGAAGAUGAGAUCAGGUCUCUGCACUCUCCUGUGACAGAGCAGGCUGUGUGGGGUAAUUGAAUUAAGAGAGCCUGUGAUCAGCUGUGCUUCUGUUUUCAAGCUCCAAAAC